UCCCAGCCGAGGAUCUUUUGCUCGCGAGAGUUCCUCCGUCUAGCUGCACACAACGCUGCUGCAGGAAACAGAGGUAAGAGAAUUGCCGAGACUUAGCUCGACCACACUCCCCGAGGCCCCGCCCCUCCUCUCUCGCCCUCCUCUUGGCCCGGGUCUUGGGCGUUUGCACGUGCAGUUGUUGUGGUUCUACGUCACGUGGUCCCGGAAGUGCACGAUAGGCCCGCCUCAAAGAUGGCGACGCCCACCGCGCGUGGACGUGAUCCGCCUCUGCACCGGCUUGGAUUGUAGCCUUUACGAGGUCUGAGCGACCAUGGACCGGCCGGGGUUCAUGGCAUCGCUGGUGGCUGGUGGGUUAGCAGGUGUUUCUGUUGACUUGAUAUUAUUUCCUCUGGAUACCAUUAAAACCAGGCUGCAGAGUCCCCAAGGAUUUAAUAAGGCUGGUGGUUUUCGUGGAAUAUAUGCUGGUGUUCCUUCUGCUGCUGUUGGAUCCUUUCCUAAUGCUGCUGCAUUUUUUAUCACCUAUGAAUAUGUGAAGUGGUUUUUGCAUACUGAUUCAUCUUCAUAUUUGACACCUAUGAAACAUAUGUUGGCUGCCUCUGCUGGAGAAGUGGUUGCCUGCCUGAUUCGAGUUCCAUCUGAAGUGGUUAAGCAGAGGGCACAGGUAUCUGCUUCUACAAGAACAUUUCAGAUUUUCUCUAACAUCUUAUAUGAAGAGGGUAUCCAAGGGUUGUAUCGAGGCUAUAAAAGCACAGUUUUAAGAGAGAUUCCUUUUUCUCUGGUCCAGUUUCCCUUAUGGGAGUCCUUAAAAGCCCUCUGGUCCUGGAGGCAGGAUCAUGUGGUGGAUUCUUGGCAGUCAGCAGUCUGUGGAGCUUUUGCAGGUGGAUUUGCCGCUGCAGUCACCACACCUCUAGAUGUGGCAAAGACAAGAAUUAUGCUGGCAAAGGCUGGCUCCAGCACUGCUAAUGGGAACGUGCUCUCUGCCCUGCAUGGGGUCUGGCAGUCACAGGGGCUGGCAGGAUUAUUUGCAGGUGUCUUCCCUCGAAUGGCAGCCAUCAGUCUGGGAGGUUUCAUCUUUCUGGGGGCUUAUGACCACACGCACCGCUUGCUGUUGGGAGUUGGCAGAAAGAGUCCUUGAAGCAGAGACAGCCUCACCUCCACUUCUGUCAAGAGAGGGGCCUGCAGUGUAAACCCUCUUCGGCUGAGCAGCUGUCUGAACUAUAGGCCCCAGUGCUGAAGACCAGUUCUGCCAAGAUGCCGGCAUCGAGAUUGUGCCAUCCGUGGUGUAGGCUGGCUGAGAUGUGUCCAGCGCCCCCUGUGGUGUGUGAGAGAGAGCAGCUGCAGCUCAAGUGACUAGGUGGGCCCAGCUGGCUUCGUGCAGGAGGACACGGUGGGUGAGCCAUUCUUGCCAUUCUCCGUGUCAGGCUGAAAGGAGGGCCUGGGCCAGCUUUGAAAACAACAUUGCUAGAAGUAGGCAGGAUGAAAUGGAAAGGUCACCACACUUUGGGAUUUUAGAGCUUGACUAACAAGCUCCAGGCGUAGAAGAAUUCAGAACGAAAUCUCAGGAAUCUAGCUGUGUUGUCUGCCCCGGAGCAAACAGUAUAUGAUUUUGCUUUGCCUAUUUUUUUUUUUCCUUUUUUGGGGAAAGAUAAUUAAAGGCAGAAUGACUGCGUUUGUAAAAGAAGGACCACCAACUGUACUGACAUUUAUAAAUGAACCUUUAUUAAAGACACUUCAAUGCCAUCUGUUAGACACUUCAAUAUUUUACAUGGUUUUCAAUGUACACUGUACCAAAAUUUCUAUAAAUAAAUAACUUUGUACAUAAAAGUAAUACUUCCUCUUUCACAUUGCCUCUCAGAAGCAGCAAAUUCACAUAUUUUGUGGAAGUAAGAUUAGUCAGUUAACUGUCAACAAAAUUCUGAAUGUGCUUACCUUUUGAACAGUGAUGACACCUGACAGUAAUUGUUAGCUAUUUUCUCCGUAACUCCCUUCAGCUUUUGGCCAAAGGAACAUUUUAAGGACCUUGUUUCUAUGUAAGUUAAGGUUUACUAAAUUACACAUUGGCACUCACAAGAUGGUUAGCUACCAGUCUCAAAAGUGCAAAUAUACCCAGAACCCAGGUCAAGGUCGAAGUCUUUUCCAGUCCCAGCUCAGUUUCAUCUGUGCAUGGGAAUGGCAUGGACAGGCCUGCUCUGGAUCCUCAGUAGAAAUAAGGUAGCCCUGAAAAGAAAGAACUUCCUCCUUUCUAUCCCCCAAGGCCAAUGUAAUACUCACUCAUCAUAUUGGCAGAACGAAAACAUCACUAUAGAAAAAUCCACAGGUACCAACACCAGCAGCCUUUACCUUAAUUAAAAGUCUCAACUAGCGAUCGAAUGAUACUGAGAAGGCCACAUUUGCUUUUAUCAUAAAAUCUGAGGAGGAGGAAAGGCAGUGCUUAAUUGUUCUGACCAUUUGCUUGUGAUGGAUUAACAACCCUCAUUCUAUGCCUUAAAGACAGGACUUAAA